UAGUAUUAUGAAAAUGUAGUUUAGAAGUGUAUUAAAUUUGUCAAAUAUAUGGUUAUAUAUAUAUGGUUUGCAGAUUUUAAUGGUUUCAGAUUUUAAUCAAAUAAAGCAACAAUAAUAUGCAAACUGAAAAGAAUCAGUUGGUUUGCGACUACCAAAACUUUAGCAGCUGUUCAGUCUGCUACUCCACGAUAGAUAACGCGACAAGAUGUCGUUCCACAAAUCUGGUUACAAUUUCAAAAAGAAUGCAUAAAAAUUGCGAAUAAUAAAAUAUUAAAAAAAAAUUAAUAAGAAAAUACCGCAAUACAACGGAAAAAGCUGAAGCUGUUAGUGAAUUUUUCAAAAAUUUUUCAGUAACAACCAAUUUCAUAUUCAACCAAAGGACUAAAUCACUAUGGAAGCUAUUUAUAUAAAUAUAUUAUAUCUACAUAUAUAUAUAUAUAUAUAUAUAUAUAUAUAAAUAUAUAAUAAUAUCUUAAAACCGUCAAUGAAAAAGCAUUUGUUUUAUUACAACUUUCCAAUUUUUCAAGACGAUUCCGCUCCUUGCGACCGUGCAAAAUUGGUUUAUUAUGUAUAAACAUUAAAAUCGAACUUGAUUUAAAUUCGAUUAAGAAUUUAUGGCACCAAAUUGGGAAAAAAUCAAUCAAAUUAAGUUAUUAAACUGUAUAGAGCUUAAUAAAACUAUAGAAAAAGUUUGAUAUGACGAAAUCUCUGGAAAAUUUACAAAGUCUAGUGAACUCCAUGCCAUCUCGGAUUUAUGCGAUAAUUAAAGCUAGAGGUGGCUCUACCAAAUAUUAAUAAUUUUUAUUAUUUUUUUUUUAUUUUUUUGUUCUCUAAACACAAUAUUAAGAUGUUAAAGCAUUUACCAUAAACAACAAUUAGAAAAAAAUAUGAAGAAAAAUGUUUUCCUGGUAGAAGAAUACUGUAUUUUUAAAUAAUUCUCAAAUCGAAGAUCAAAAAUUUUAUAAAAUUAUGGAAAAUGCAUACAAAUAGACAUAUAUUUCAUGAAAGUAGUUUUAAAUUUUUUGGAACAUUUAACGAAAACAUUAUAUUUAAUGGGUGAUAUGGUUUCUAUGACCGCUUCACCCAUGUCUAUGCAUAAAAAAUGACGUUAGAUCUAUCUAUAUUUAUUAAGUAGUCCACUGCUUAAGCUAAAUUCAGAAAAAGAAAUAUUGUACAAAAUUCUCAA